AGCUCCAAUAGCGUAUACUAAAGUUGUUGCAGUUAAAAAGCUCGUAGUUGAAUUUCGGUCCCUUCGCCUGUGGUCAGCCUUACGGUAUGUACCCUGGCGGGCGGUCCUCUUUGUGGGAAAACCAUGUGGCCUUCGCUGGUCGCGUGGCGGAACCAUGACGUUUACUUUGAAAAAAUUAGAGUGUUUAAAGCAAGCGUUCGCUUGAAUACAUUAGCAUGGAAUAAUGAAAUAGGGCUGCGGUUCCUAUUUUGUUGGUUUCUAGGUGCGUAGCAAUGAUUAAUAGGGAUAGUUGGGGGCGUCAAUAUUUGAUUGUCAGAGGUGAAAUUCUUGGAUUUAUGAAAGAUUAACUUCUGCGAAAGCAUUCGCCAAGGAUGUUUUCAUUA
rnacentral:rRNA from 1 species